rnacentral:tRNA from 1 species
AUCUAUAUAGUAUAAAAAGUACAAUUGACUUCCAAUCAAACAGUCUAUAAUUAUUAAUAGUAUAGAUA